UGCAUCAAACUUUCCCAAAAGUUCUAAUACCCCAAGAGCCUUCUUUUUCUCUAGACAAAAAAAACCUUUUCUCCUUCAUUGAUCUGCCAUCUCCUAACAUACAUCAAGCAACACCAAAACAUAUUUCUCUUGCAAGUCGAACCACCGCACACACCAUAUUUCUCUCGUAAGUCGCACCACUGUAUUGCACAAGGCCACCAGUUCGCCGGUGCCGAAGUCAUUCUUUGAUCUCCUCUAUGCGAGCAACGAAGAUUUUCACCAAACUUGUCACUGCAAUGUACGCGUCCCUGCCUGUUGCCACUGCUAUCUAGUCGGCCAUAAGUGCUUAGCCUUUUUCCAUCGAGUCCCACCAUUUAAUCUCCAGAAAUUCGAAUUUAGCUGAUCCACACAAGCAAGAACCAUCUCGAGCGAAGGUAUACAAAGAAUCAAGGUUGAGAAAUUCGAAAAAGACAUACAAAACAAGCUUCGUGAAAACAAAAGACAAUAUUGAACAAAUGGAGACUUUAGCAUCUAAAUAACAUGAAGAAGGUGCUAAUAGUGAGGAUCCAUACAAUCAAGUGAUUAAAAAGGUGGGGCGUAGUGGACGUGUCCGCCUCUGCGGGAAAGGUGUGACCAAAACUGAUCUAAAGAAAGGAGGCACAAAAUGUCGCUACAUAAUUCCUCAAGAAUUCCUACAAAGCAUUCAAACGGGGUUAGUAGAAUAACUAUGAGAAGCUAAUCCUGGUAUAGAUCUUGUGGAUCUCGCUUAAAAGUGGAGCAUGAUUUUGGAAUUAAUUGGACAACUAGCUAUAAAUCUUAUUUUUUUUGGUAAUAUAUUUACGCUACAAGUAGAUAUUUUUUGGUGCAUACAUUUUAGGUUGGAAGUAAAUAUGUUUUGAUGGUCAAACUACUCUUGGGAUUUGAUAUAUAUACGAUAGUAUUAUAUUAAGUACUUGGUAUUGUAAAGCGUCGACCGAUUGGAUGAUAUUUGGAUAU